rnacentral:rRNA from 1 species
UACGGAGGGUGCAAGCGUUGUCCGGAAUCACUGGGCGUAAAGGGCGCGUAGGCGGCUCAUGAAGGCUGUGGUGAAAGUCCGGGGCUCAACCUCGGAUCGGCCGUGGCGACUCGUGGGCUGGAGCACUGUAGAGGCGGGUGGAAUUCCGGGUGUAGCGGUGGAAUGCGUAGAGAUCCGGAAGAACACCAGUGGCGAAGGCGGCCCGCUGGGCAGUGGCUGACGCUGAGGCGGCGACAGCGUGGGGAGCAAACGAGG